rnacentral:lncRNA from 1 species
UGCAUUGCAACGGAAGAAGAUUAAUAUAAAAUUUUAAGCAAUAAAAACUGCAUAAAAAUCAAAAAUAGGUGGGCAAUGAAGCUAUAGUUACAUGUGUAUCCAUAUUCUAAUACACAGAUAACUCCCAUGGAUACACAUAAGCUUGUGGUAAUCCAUAAUCUCUUUGAUCCAUGCAUCCUCCAAAAUUAUUUUUAUGCAUGAAAGAUAGUAACAUCUUCUCAAUGAUUCCCUUCAAUUAAGCAACCUCUUCACACAGCUGCUCCACUUUUCUGCCAGGAUAAACAUAAAAAAUUGUCAAAAAGUUGAAACGUUGAACCUACAUAACUCAUAUCCAGCUAUUCCUUUCAAUUGUACACACUGUCCAAAUGUCAAAAUUUCUGAAUGGAAUGCAAUACCCUAAAAUAAUUCUCUGAAAUCCACCACAUCAAAUGUCCCUAUGCAGCAGCUUUCUUUGAAGCACAAAUGAAGCAAAAUGCUGUGUUGAUCUUAAAUGAUAAGCGCCGCCCAAAAAUUCAGAGACCAAACUAAGACAUAAAAGGGCAUAGAUAAAAACACAUCUCAGAUAAAGUUUUCCAACUUGAUGCUGGGCCCAGAGUUGGCCAUGGCUAUCAUGCCCCCUGCGCAACAAUUAAUAAAAACAAACUGAUUUCAGAUAAGCUAAUUUAGAGGAUGUACCGUCGACAACUCAAUUUAGAUAAACUGAUUUCAUAUACUUGGAUCACAACCCCGAAUGUUUCCCCUUGAAACUGUAAGCAUAAAACCUGAUCCAAGUGCACCACAAAAUUUGCUCGUUUUCUCAACAUCAAGCUAAAAUUUCAGAAUCAAAUUGCCAAAAAAUAUUUCAGAAUUGAAAACACCCGGAGUACAAUCAGAUAUAGAUAUAUGUCCACAGUCCAACACUAAUAAUCCAAAUCAAUUUAAGGUGUAUUGGAAUUAGUGAGAGCUGCUUGUGGAUGCAACUCAAACUGAGGCACAAUAUAUAUUUGGAACUUACACCAAGCUGAGCUUGACCUUGUAUAAUGAACUGUCCUGAAACCCACUCGCGCGCACACUGCGCCAGGAAGUUCUCCAUCGUCCCCGCUCGCAUACUGCGUUAGGAAGUUCUCCAUCGUCCAUGGCCCCUAGGAGGUUGCAGAACAACUCCGCCAUCACAUCACGCAACUGGCUGCAAUGAGAAGAACGACGAGGGUCUCCUCAUCGUUGAUCUCUCUGUAUCCACCAGCCGCACCAAUAGGUGUGCGGGCACAUGAUACCCUGCUCCCAGAUUAGUUUAAGCCAGAGA